AAAAACUUAAUUUUUAGGUUUUCGUGUCUGAUGUUUGACCGUCCGUCUUAUAUAAAAUUUUUGUAUGAUUAGUAUUUUCAUGAUUGUUAAAUGAUAAAACAUGAAUAAUACUUUAUGCAUGGCUUAUUUUUAAAAUUUUUUUAUAAUUUUUUUAAAAUAAGACGAACGAUCAAACGUUAGACACGGAAACUCAGAAAUUAAG
rfam:Oryza glaberrima chromosome 1 Oglab01_0247_1, whole genome shotgun sequence.